rnacentral:rRNA from 1 species
UACGAAGGGGGCUAGCGUUGCUCGGAAUCACUGGGCGUAAAGGGUGCGUAGGCGGGUCUUUUAAGUCAGGGGUGAAAUCCUGGAGCUCAACUCCAGAACUGCCUUUGAUACUGAGGAUCUUGAGUUCGGGAGAGGUGAGUGGAACUGCGAGUGUAGAGGUGAAAUUCGUAGAUAUUCGCAAGAACACCAGUGGCGAAGGCGGCUCACUGGCCCGAUACUGACGCUGAGGCGCGAAAGCGUGGGGAGCAACAGG